AAACCCAAAGGACUUGACGGUGUCCCACCCACCUAGAGGAGCCUGUUCUAUAAUCGAUAACCCCCGAUACACCUCACCACCCCUAGCAUACACUCAGUCUGUAUACCUCCGUCGCAAGCUUACCCUAUGMAUGCCUCUAGUAAGCUAAAAGAUUCAACAUCAAUACGUCAGGUCAAGGUGCAACUAAUGGGACGGAAAGCAAUGGGCUACAAUUUCUACCAUAGAACACACGAAAAACUGCAUGAAACACAGUUAUGAAGGCGGAUUUAGCAGUAAAAAGAAAAUAGAGUGUUCUUUUUAACCAGGCCCUGGGACGCGU
rnacentral:rRNA from 1 species